rnacentral:rRNA from 1 species
UACAGAGGGUGCUAGCGUUGUUCGGAAUCAUUGGGCGUAAAGGGUGCGUAGGCGGCGCGGUAAGUCGGGUGUGAAAUCUUGGAGCUUAACUCCGAAACUGCAUUCGAUACUGCCGUGCUUGAGGACUGGAGAGGAGACUGGAAUUUACGGUGUAGCGGUGAAAUGCGUAGAUAUCGUAAGGAAGACCAGUGGCGAAGGCGGGUCUCUGGACAGUUCCUGACGCUGAGGCACGAAGGCCAGGGGAGCAAACGGG